AUUGAACGCUGGCGGCAGGCCUAACACAUGCAAGUCGAGCGGAUGAGAGGAGCUUGCUCCUGGAUUCAGCGGCGGACGGGUGAGUAAUGCCUAGGAAUUUGCCUGGUAGUGGGGGACAACGUUUCGAAAGGAACGCUAAUUCCGCAUACGUCCUACGGGAGAAAGCAGGGGACCUUCGGGCCCUGCGCUAUCAGAUGAGCCUAGGUCGGAUUAGCUAGUUGGUGAGGUAAUGGCUCACCAAGGCGACGAUCCGUAACUGGUUUGAGAGGAUGAUCAGUCACCCUGGAACUGAGACCCGGUCCAGACUCCUUCGGGAGGCAGCAGUGGGGAAUAUUGGACAAUGGGCGAAAGCCUGAUCCAGCCCUGCCGCGUGUGUGAAGAAGGUUUUCGGAUUGUAAAGCCCUUUAAGUUGGGAGGAAGGGUUGUAGAUUAAUACUUUGCAAUUUUGACGUUACCGACAGAAUAAGCCCCGGCUAACUCUGUG
rnacentral:rRNA from 1 species